UUUGUCUCGCGAAUUAGCUUUCAUUUAUGUAAUUAGUUUUGUAAGUAGUUUAUAUUUAACACUCUAAAUUAGUGUCUAAAUACAGGGACUAAAGUUAAGUCCCUGAUCCAAACACCACCUUAGUACUGUCAGUAUUGCUUGUGGCGUACGUCUCUGCUGGGGGAAAAUCGUUAAUAGGAAAUGGAAGUUGAGGGGUGGUAAAGGUUGUUGUCUAUUGUUUGGGUAGUGAGCGUGAAAUUAUGUUUUAGCAGGGAUUAGGAAUUAAUAAAGUUUAAUAUAUAGUAGCAAACUCACCUUUUUAAUACAUGGGUAGAUACAAAUAAAUGGAAGGAAAUUCUCCUGCUAAGAAUAACGAACUCCUUAUAAUUCUUAUCUCUACUAAUACCAAGCAAGGGAUGUGGAGAAAAAUAAAACUCCCUCACAACCAAUCCCUACCAAACUCCUAAUCCACUUCUCGUGCCAAACAAGCUAACCGUUGGACAAAUGUCCUAGCUAGUAAGGCCAGUCACAAUGGGUGUUUCAUUUGAGUGUCAUGCGCAUUUAAUACAGUGACAAGUCAGCAAAAGAGCAAUAUUUGCAUGAAAUGGGUAGGAGAGAGAGUAAACUCGUUUCACCAUGGUGACACGAGAUAGCGCCGUUUCCCAGGUCGCUGAAACGGGGUGAAACAGCAUUGAGAGUUCAUCGUUUCACCUCCGGGAUCCCGUGCGAGCGCUGCUCUUCGCCAUCUUCGCGCGCAUCGCCGGAUUCUUCCCGCGCGAGUCCCCCAUCUUCCCGCGCAGCACCUCCAUGUUCCCGCCCCCAAAGCACUGGCUCGAAGCUUUUUUCCCCAAUCUCACCUGCAACCCUAGCGCCAGACUCAGUCCCCAUCGCCCCGUCCGUCCCAUACCCUAGCGCAAGAACCACGAGCGGAGAUUGCGGAGCUGGAUCCACAAGUAGGUGGUGAAUCCUGUCCAUCUGCCGCCGUCCGCCGUCCAGCAGCCAUGGAUCCACAAGGAGGUGGUGGAUCCCGUCUGAGCGCCGCCGGCAGAGGAGGGAAUAAGCGUGGGGGCAAGCAGCUGGGCCUGAAGAGGUCGUCGGCGCCUGCUCCAUCACCGGCAACAGCUCAGCCACCGCUGCCUGCAAGUUCCCCUCCUGAAGCUCCAUCGCCGGCAACAGUUCAGCCGCCUACUCCAUCGUCAAGUCCUGCUGUUGCUGCCCCCAGUUCAUCCCCUGCUGUACCGAUGUCAACCAUGCCCCCAUGGCCACCGCAAGGAGCAGGAUGGGGCUCUGUACCCCCCAAUUUUGCUUUUCUGCAAGGAAACCAACAAGGCCCAAGUUCAUGGUUGUAUCCUACAGAAGGCUUCGUAAAUUUUCUCCAACAGAACUGUCUGCCGCAGCCACAAGAAGGUGAAAAUUUUCACCUUGUUGGUCAGACUACCAACACAAUGUCUACUCCACCACCAACACCCCAAGCUGCAGCUAACAAUACAGUCCAAAUUGAUAUUCAUGAAGAUGCAAUCAAUGAUGCAAGUGCUAAAAAGAGAAGUUUGAGAUAUUGGACUCAUGAUGAGGAAGAGAGAUUGGCUAGUGCUUGGUUGAAUGCUUCUAAAGAUCCCAUUCAUGGGAAUGAAAAGAAAGGUGAUACGUUUUGGAAAGAGGUUACUGAUGAGUUCAACAGAAAAGGGAAUGGGAAGCGUACAAGGGAAAUAAAUCAAUUGAAGGUUCAUUGGUCACGCCUCAAAUCAUCGAUUGGAGAAUUCAAUGAUUACUGGACUAAGGUAACUCAAAUGAAUACAAGCGGAUAUGACGAUGACAUGCUGGAGAAGGAGGCACAACAGAUGUAUGCAAAUACAUUUGGAAAGCCUUUUGCACUUGUGCAUUGGUGGAAGAUACUGAGAAAAGAGCCCAAGUGGUGUGCAAUGAUUGAGAAGGACAAAAACAAGGCUGAAGUGGUUGAUAUUCCAGAUGAACAAAAGCGUCCCAUUGGUAGAGAAGCAGCACAAGCCGAGCGCAAUGGAAAACGCAAGAAGGACAGUAUGUCAGAAGGAAUUGUCAUCCUAGGGGACAAUAUUGAAAAAAUUAUCAAAGUGACGCAAGAUCGGAAGCUGGAGCGUGAGAAGGUCACUGAAGCACAGAUUCACAUUUCAAACGUAAAUUUGAAGGCAGCAGAACAGCAAAAAGAAGCAAAGAUGUUUGAGGUAUACAAUUCCCUGCUCACUCAAGAUACAAGUAACAUGUCUGAAGAACAGAAGGCUCGCCGAGACAAGGCAUUACAAAAGCUGGAGGAAAAGUUAUUUGCUGACUAAGAUGUCUGAGCAAAAUACUGAUGGAAGUCAAGUUCCAGUGAACUUGUUGGAUGAGUUCCUGGCUGAGGAUGAGAUCAUAGAUGAUCUUCUCACUGAAGCCACGGUGGUAGUACAGUCCACUAUAGAAGGUCUUCAAAACGAGGCUUCUGACCAUCGACAUCAUCCGAGGAAGCACAUCAAGAGGCCACGAGAGGAAGCACAUCAGCAACUAGUGAAUGAUUACUUUUCAGAAAAUCCUCUUUACCCUUCCAAAAUUUUUCGUCGAAGAUUUCGUAUGUCUAGGCCACUUUUUCUUCGCAUCGUUGAGGCAUUAGGCCAGUGGUCAGUGUAUUUCACACAAAGGGUGGAUGCUGUUAAUCGGAAAGGACUCAGUCCACUGCAAAAGUGUACUGCAGCUAUUCGCCAGUUGGCUACUGGUAGUGGCGCAGAUGAACUAGAUGAAUAUCUGAAGAUAGGAGAGACUACAGCAAUGGAGGCAAUGAAGAAUUUUGUCAAAGGUCUUCAAGAUGUGUUUGGUGAGAGGUAUCUUAGGCGCCCCACCAUGGAAGAUACCGAACGGCUUCUCCAACUUGGUGAGAAACGUGGUUUUCCUGGAAUGUUCGGCAGCAUUGACUGCAUGCACUGGCAUUGGGAAAGAUGCCCAGUAGCAUGGAAGGGUCAGUUCACUCGUGGAGAUCAGAAAGUGCCAACCCUGAUUCUUGAGGCUGUGGCAUCGCAUGAUCUUUGGAUUUGGCAUGCAUUUUUUGGAGCAGCGGGUUCCAACAAUGAUAUCAAUGUAUUGAACCAAUCUACUGUAUUUAUCAAGGAGCUCAAAGGACAAGCUCCUAGAGUCCAGUACAUGGUAAAUGGGAAUCAAUACAAUACUGGGUAUUUUCUUGCUGAUGGAAUCUACCCUGAAUGGGCAGUGUUUGUUAAGUCAAUACGACUCCCAAACACUGAAAAGGAGAAAUUGUAUGCAGAUAUGCAAGAAGGGGCAAGAAAAGAUAUCGAGAGAGCCUUUGGUGUAUUGCAGCGAAGAUUUUGCAUCUUAAAACGACCAGCUCGUCUAUAUGAUCGAGGUGUACUGCGAGAUGUUGUUCUAGCUUGCAUCAUACUUCACAAUAUGAUAGUUGAAGAUGAGAAGGAAACCAGAAUUAUUGAAGAAGAUUUAGAUCUAAAUGUGCCUCCUAGUUCAUCAACCGUUCAGGAACCUGAGUUCUCUCCUGAACAGAACACACCAUUUGAUAGAGUUUUAGAAAAAGAUAUUUCUAUCCGAGAUCGAGCGGCUCAUAACCGACUUAAGAAAGAUUUGGUGGAACACAUUUGGAAUAAGUUUGGUGGUGCUGCACAUAGAACUGGAAAUUGAGAAUCAGUAAAUGUUCCAAUCUAUUUACAGGUUCCCUAAAAAAAAAUCUAUUUGCAGGUUCCAGUCUGUUGUCUUCACAAUGGUGAAAGAAUCAAUGAAAUCUAUGGGUGCAUCGUCAAUUUGCCUCCAGUUACCUGCUUGUCAUCGUCAUUUGUAGCUUAGUUCUGUCAUAUUUCACCUCGAGUUAACAUCUAUUCAGUUAUCUAAACUUUGCUAUGUAGUGAACUUGGUUGAAUGGUCAUUUAAAUUUAUCAAGUGAACAAUCGUACCUAUCUGUGCUGAAUGCAUGUAUUUUGUUUUGUGUUCAAGUGGCUACACACGUUUGUGUUACAUACGAUCCCACUAUGUGGCUGGAAUUAAAUGCCUUGAAUUUGCAUUGGAAACGCUAGAGUGAAACACAGCAUUGAGAA